CCUACGGGAGGCAGCAGUGGGGAAUAUUGGGCAAUGGACGCAAGUCUGACCCAGCAACGCAGCGUGAAGGAAGAAGGCUUUCGGGUUGUAAACUUCUUUUAAGGGGGAAGAGCAGAAGACGGUACCCCUUGAAUAAGCCACGGCUAACUACGUGCCAGCAGCCGCGGUAAUACGUAGGUGGCAAGCGUUGUCCGGAUUUACUGGGUGUAAAGGGCGUGCAGCCGGAGAGACAAGUCAGAUGUGAAAUCCACGGGCUCAACCCGUGAACUGCAUUUGAAACUGUUUCCCUUGAGUGUCGGAGAGGUAAGCGGAAUUCCUUGUGUAGCGGUGAAAUGCGUAGAUAUAAGGAAGAACACCAGUGGCGAAGGCAGAUUACUGGACGAUAACUGACGGUGAGGCGCGAAGGCGUGGGGAGCAAACAGGAUUAGAUACCCUUGUAGUC
rnacentral:rRNA from 1 species